rnacentral:rRNA from 1 species
AGAUUGAACGCUGGCGGCAUGCUUUACACAUGCAAGUCGAACGGUAACAGGCCGCAAGGUGCUGACGAGUGGCGAACGGGUGAGUAAUGCAUCGGAACGUGCCCAGUCGUGGGGGAUAACGCAGCGAAAGCUGUGCUAAUACCGCAUACGAUCUAUGGAUGAAAGCGGGGGACCGAAAGGCCUCGCGCGAUUGGAGCGGCCGAUGUCAGAUUAGCUAGUUGGUGGGGUAAAGGCCCACCAAGGCGACGAUCUGUAGCUGGUCUGAGAGGACGACCAGCCACACUGGAACUGAGACACGGUCCAGACUCCUACGGGAGGCAGCAGUGGGGAAUUUUGGACAAUGGGCGCAAGCCUGAUCCAGCAAUGCCGCGUGCAGGAAGAAGGCCU